GGAUUGAUGAUGACUCCCACUCACAACAGCAUUCCUUGGAUAAGCUGAACAAAAUGAGUGCCUCGCCUCGCCUUGCCUCGCCUUGCCCUGCCC
ensembl:snoRNA SNORD116 Small nucleolar RNA SNORD116